GAUUAAGUUAUUAAGGGCGCACGGUGGAUGCCUUGGCACUAGAAGCCGAUGAAGGACGUUACUAACGACGAUAUGCUUUGGGGAGCUGUAAGUAAGCUUUGAUCCAGAGAUUUCCGAAUGGGGAAACCCAGCAUGAGUUAUGUCAUGUUAUCGAUAUGUGAAUACAUAGCAUAUCAGAAGGCACACCCGGAGAACUGAAACAUCUUAGUACCCGGAGGAAGAGAAAGAAAAUUCGAUUCCCUUAGUAGCGGCGAGCGAAACGGGAAGAGCCCAAACCAAAAAGCUUGCUUGUUGGGGUUGUAGGACACUCUAUACGGAGUUACAAAGGACGACAUUAGACGAAUCAUCUGGAAAGAUGAAUCAAAGAAGGUAAUAAUCCUGUAGUCGAAAAUGUUGUCUCUCUUGAGUGGAUCCUGAGUACGACGGAGCACGUGAAAUUCCGUCGGAAUCUGGGAGGACCAUCUCCUAAGGCUAAAUACUCUCUAGUGACCGAUAGUGAACCAGUACCGUGAGGGAAAGGUGAAAAGCACCCCGGAAGGGGAGUGAAAUAGAACCUGAAACCGUGUGCUUACAAGUAGUCAGAGCCCGUUAAUGGGUGAUGGCGUGCCUUUUGUAGAAUGAACCGGCGAGUUACGAUUUGAUGCAAGGUUAAGCAGUAAAUGUGGAGCCGUAGCGAAAGCGAGUCUGAAUAGGGCGUUUAGUAUUUGGUCGUAGACCCGAAACCAGGUGAUCUACCCUUGGUCAGGUUGAAGUUCAGGUAACACUGAAUGGAGGACCGAACCGACUUACGUUGAAAAGUGAGCGGAUGAACUGAGGGUAGCGGAGAAAUUCCAAUCGAACCUGGAGAUAGCUGGUUCUCUCCGAAAUAGCUUUAGGGCUAGCCUCAAGUGAUGAUUAUUGGAGGUAGAGCACUGUUUGGACGAGGGGCCCCUCUCGGGUUACCGAAUUCAGACAAACUCCGAAUGCCAAUUAAUUUAACUUGGGAGUCAGAACAUGGGUGAUAAGGUCCGUGUUCGAAAGGGAAACAGCCCAGACCACCAGCUAAGGUCCCAAAAUAUAUGUUAAGUGGAAAAGGAUGUGGCGUUGCCCAGACAACUAGGAUGUUGGCUUAGAAGCAGCCAUCAUUUAAAGAGUGCGUAAUAGCUCACUAGUCGAGUGACACUGCGCCGAAAAUGUACCGGGGCUAAACAUAUUACCGAAGCUGUGGAUUGUCCUUUGGACAAUGGUAGGAGAGCGUUCUAAGGGCGUUGAAGCAUGAUCGUAAGGACAUGUGGAGCGCUUAGAAGUGAGAAUGCCGGUGUGAGUAGCGAAAGACGGGUGAGAAUCCCGUCCACCGAUUGACUAAGGUUUCCAGAGGAAGGCUCGUCCGCUCUGGGUUAGUCGGGUCCUAAGCUGAGGCCGACAGGCGUAGGCGAUGGAUAACAGGUUGAUAUUCCUGUACCACCUAUAAUCGUUUUAAUCGAUGGGGGGACGCAGUAGGAUAGGCGAAGCGUGCGAUUGGAUUGCACGUCUAAGCAGUAAGGCUGAGUAUUAGGCAAAUCCGGUACUCGUUAAGGCUGAGCUGUGAUGGGGAGAAGACAUUGUGUCUUCGAGUCGUUGAUUUCACACUGCCGAGAAAAGCCUCUAGAUAGAAAAUAGGUGCCCGUACCGCAAACCGACACAGGUAGUCAAGAUGAGAAUUCUAAGGUGAGCGAGCGAACUCUCGUUAAGGAACUCGGCAAAAUGACCCCGUAACUUCGGGAGAAGGGGUGCUCUUUAGGGUUAACGCCCAGAAGAGCCGCAGUGAAUAGGCCCAAGCGACUGUUUAUCAAAAACACAGGUCUCUGCUAAACCGUAAGGUGAUGUAUAGGGGCUGACGCCUGCCCGGUGCUGGAAGGUUAAGAGGAGUGGUUAGCUUCUGCGAAGCUACGAAUCGAAGCCCCAGUAAACGGCGGCCGUAACUAUAACGGUCCUAAGGUAGCGAAAUUCCUUGUCGGGUAAGUUCCGACCCGCACGAAAGGCGUAACGAUUUGGGCACUGUCUCAACGAGAGACUCGGUGAAAUCAUAGUACCUGUGAAGAUGCAGGUUACCCGCGACAGGACGGAAAGACCCCGUGGAGCUUUACUGUAGCCUGAUAUUGAAAUUCGGCACAGCUUGUACAGGAUAGGUAGGAGCCUUUGAAACGUGAGCGCUAGCUUACGUGGAGGCGCUGGUGGGAUACUACCCUAGCUGUGUUGGCUUUCUAACCCGCACCACUUAUCGUGGUGGGAGACAGUGUCAAGCGGGCAGUUUGACUGGGGCGGUCGCCUCCUAAAAGGUAACGGAGGCGCUCAAAGGUUCCCUCAGAAUGGUUGGAAAUCAUUCAUAGAGUGUAAAGGCAUAAGGGAGCUUGACUGCGAGACCUACAAGUCGAGCAGGGUCGAAAGACGGACUUAGUGAUCCGGUGGUUCCGCAUGGAAGGGCCAUCGCUCAACGGAUAAAAGCUACCCCGGGGAUAACAGGCUUAUCUCCCCCAAGAGUUCACAUCGACGGGGAGGUUUGGCACCUCGAUGUCGGCUCAUCGCAUCCUGGGGCUGUAGUCGGUCCCAAGGGUUGGGCUGUUCGCCCAUUAAAGCGGUACGCGAGCUGGGUUCAGAACGUCGUGAGACAGUUCGGUCCCUAUCCGUCGUGGGCGUAGGAAAUUUGAGAGGAGCUGUCCUUAGUACGAGAGGACCGGGAUGGACAUACCUCUGGUGUACCAGUUGUCGUGCCAACGGCAUAGCUGGGUAGCUAUGUGUGGACGGGAUAAGUGCUGAAAGCAUCUAAGCAUGAAGCCCCCCUCAAGAUGAGAUUUCCCAACUUCGGUUAUAAGAUCCCUCAAAGAUGAUGAGGUUAAUAGGUUCGAGGUGGAAGCAUGGUGACAUGUGGAGCUGACGAAUACUAAUCGAUCGAAGACUUAAUCAA
rnacentral:rRNA from 1 species